UCAGGCCCAUAAUAUAAAAAGCACUUAUUUAAGAGACAUACCAUCGGUCCUGUCGUUGGGUCCUUGCCAGUUCUGUGCUCCUGCACAAGCUUUUGGGUUCACUUUCCACUGCUCCUCCUCACUGCUUACAUGCUCCUUUAAUACUGUUAAGGGAGCCAAGCAGACUAGGGGAAGCAGUCAACAUUCAGCAAGACAGCCAGUAAGUUUAUCAGGUGAAAAUCUGUUACUUUAUCCAUGUCAUUAGAACCAUUAAUAAAGUAUACUAGUGACAGAUGCUUGACACUGCAGCUAGAAUUCAAGAAUCAAGCCGAAACUUGUUAUUUCCUGGGGGAACAUAACAGCACACAGAUCUAACACAGGGAUCCCCGCAUCACUGCAACAAUGUGCCAAAAGGGAUAUUGGAAUUGCCAUGUGAAACAACAAUAUCAAUCAAGAACAGCUUUUCCAGGUAGAAACUAAAUGAAGUACAUUUCACAGAAGGAGGCAUAUUCUUGUUUAUGACUCUUCCAAAAAUAUUUUAUAAUGUCUAGUUGCUACAUGAAUUCUGUUACUAUUUUGCUCUGCACAAGCUUAAAGUAAGAGGUCAAAAAACAAUUCUUCAGCUCUAGAAAGUCAAGAGGUUGGUUUUUCCAUCAGAAACAGAAGACUACAUGUUAGAGAAAAAUGUCAUACAAUGGAAGAAAAUGCAGUUAGAUUAAAUUGUAAAAGCAGAUUGAAAUACCUCCGUAAUAGAAAAGGAAUUGGACAAGGUUGAAGAAUAGAUGUCUUUUGUGCAAUGCUGAAAAUAAACCACCAUUUUUAUUAUGAUUUUGGAAUUAGUGCUUGGGUAAGAGACAAACAUUAAAAAA